rnacentral:rRNA from 1 species
GGUGGUGCAUGGCUGUCGUCAGCUCGUGUCGUGAGAUGUUGGGUUAAGUCCCGCAACGAGCGCAACCCUUGUCCUGUGUUGCCAGCAUGCCCUUCGGGGUGAUGGGGACUCACAGGAGACCGCCGGGGUCAACUCGGAGGAAGGUGGGGACGACGUCAAGUCAUCAUGCCCCUUAUGUCUUGGGCUGCACACGUGCUACAAUGGCAGGUACAAUGAGCUGCGAAACCGUGAGGUGGAGCGAAUCUCAAAAAGCCUGUCUCAGUUCGGAUUGGGGUCUGCAACUCGACCCCAUGAAGUCGGAGUUGCUAGUAAUCGCAGAUCAGCAUUGCUGCGGUGAAUACGUUCCCGGGCCUUGUAC